CAUAAUUCCAAAUUGGGCCGACCCAAUUCAUGUAAAACCCAAUAGGCAUCGGUGUCUAUAAUCAAUAACUUGAACUCCAACCUUCCCAACGAAUAUAAUCGAUAAUUCCAAUGUUCACAGCGGCUACUAUACUCCCACAUCGUAACAUUCAUUAAUGGCAGGAAUACAACAACGACAACGUUAGACACCAAGAACAGUCUCGUCAUCUUCCCCAUGUUUCCUCGUUAGCCACGUUCGGGUCUCUUUGGAAUUCUCGCAGAAUCUACAAUAAUGCAAAAGAAAGGAAUGUUCCUCACAUUCAUAUACAUGCAAAAAUGGAAAACAAAGACCGGUGGCAUGGUGCCGAAAUCUAAACUUUAUUGACCUUAAAUUAGGAUGAAUAAGUGCUCACCAACUCAAUGCCGUUGGAAAAAAUAUAACGUUGUCUAAGGUGACAUGAAAUUGAAGCUUGGACAUUAGUAUUCAUUCAAGCAAAGUUGGAGUACAUCCUCAAUAGAUUCGAGGACAUCAUUAUGUUUAGCAUUCUUUGCUAAAAGUCAUUCUAUUUUGUUAAUGUAUGGGCCGUGACCCAAGAUAUUCGUGUCUCUAAUAUGGAGACUUUGAGACUUAAGUCUUUUCUAAGAUAUUCUAUGGAAGAUAUUUUGAUGUAUUAUUUGAUUGGGUGAAAAGUUUUAAUUCCACAUUACUUUUCAUA